CAAUGUAUGAAAUUUGACAACCUUCGUUUAAAUGUUGCAUAAACCAAGUCCACCAAGCAGUUGACAAUCUUUCGGUUGCCCGUCUUGCAUGUGAAGUUUCAAUAAUUUUUAGUCAGUAAAAUAAAUGUUACCUCAAUAGACAUAAGAGUUAUUGCUGCAAUGCAUGUGGUAAAUAGAAGGUUGUGUACAAAAGGACUAGUAUGGUGGAAAACUCCAACAAGUAAAUCAAC